rnacentral:rRNA from 3 species
CAGUGAUAAACUGGAGGAAGGUGGGGAUGACGUCAAGUCAUCAUGGCCCUUACGACCAGGGCUACACACGUGCUACAAUGGCGCAUACAAAGAGAAGCGACCUCGCGAGAGCAAGCGGACCUCAUAAAGUGCGUCGUAGUCCGGAUUGGAGUCUGCAACUCGACUCCAUGAAGUCGGAAUCGCUAGUAAUCGUGGAUCAGAAUGCCACGGUGAAUACGUUCCCGGGCCUUGUACACACCGCCCGUCACACCAUGGGAGUGGGUUGCAAAAGAAGUAGGUAGCUUAACCUUCGGGAGGGCGCUUACCACUUUGUGAUUCAUGACUGGGGUGAAGUCGUAACAAGGUAACCGUAGGG